UACGUAGGGACCGAGCGUUGUCCGGAUUCAUUGGGCGUAAAGGGCUCGUAGGCGGUCUGUCGCGUCGAAAGUGAAAACUCAGGGCUUAACCCUGAGCCUGCUUCCGAUACGGGCAGACUAGAGGUAUGCAGGGGAGAACGGAAUUCCUGGUGUAGCGGUGAAAUGCGCAGAUAUCAGGAGGAACACCGGUGGCGAAGGCGGCAUCCUGGACCGAUACUGACGCUGAGGAGCGAAAGCUAGGGGAGCAAACGGG
rnacentral:rRNA from 1 species